AGGAAGUCAAGGCAGAGAGCCACAGUCAAGGCUGAGUGGUCAAGGCAAUCCACUCGGAGUACAUCCAGCCCCCGUCACCUGCCAGCCGAGGCACUGGGUUUUCUGCAAAUGCAAGUCCUGUGGAAGUAUUACAGGAGUCUGUGAUGAUGAAGCCUUCAACCUUUCUAUUUCAUGGUCCCAUCCUGGCAGCCCUCAGGAACGGCUGAGGAGUUGUGCUUGCAACAAUGGCGAUGGCCUCCAAGCAAGCCUGAAGCGUGUGGCCCGAGGACCUGGGUGUUCUUAGGAGAGGGACUAAGAGACAACAGCCUGGUGUCAGCAGGGACUUCCCAGACAGCGGGUCCGCUUUCUUUCCCCCCUCGCACAGAUCGGCACGCCCACCUGUCCGAGAGAUAAGUAGAGGGCUACGACCCAGAGAGGGGAUGACAGUGGGGUCUGGUUCACAAUUCACUUUGAUGGGAUUUUGAUUUGGCUUUGGAGAUGGGGAUGUCCAAGCAGUGGCCCCUUAGGCCCUGUAAAGGGAAAAUGUCACUUUUGAUCAGAGUGCCAAGGUGCACAGGGCAGAGCAGUCCCGGUGUGUGUCGUGUCACUUGUCUACUGUGCAUUCUAUGUUGUCUGGAUAUGUCACGUCUAUUACCUCAGGCCUUUGAGGGGCCUAUCAGAAACCAUUCUUUGCAUCUGUGAUCUGCGUUCUUUAUCCUGGCACCAAUGCCACAGAACUUUUGACUUAGGAGCUCAGACUGCCAUCAGACUCGCAUGUCUCCUUAGAACCAUCCAGUCAGAUGUCUUCUCAGGUCUUGU